rnacentral:rRNA from 1 species
UGGGGAAUUUUGGACAAUGGGCGAAAGCCUGAUCCAGCAAUGCCGCGUGUGUGAAGAAGGCCUUCGGGUUGUAAAGCACUUUUGUCCGGAAAGAAAUCCUUGGCUCUAAUACAGUCGGGGGAUGACGGUACCGGAAGAAUAAGCACCGGCUAACUACGUGCCAGCAGCCGCGGUAAUACGUAGGGUGCAAGCGUUAAUCGGAAUUACUGGGCGUAAAGCGUGCGCAGGCGGUUUGCUAAGACCGAUGUGAAAUCCCCGGGCUCAACCUGGGAACUGCAUUGGUGACUGGCAGGCUAGAGUAUGGCAGAGGGGGGUAGAAUUCCACGUGUAGCAGUGAAAUGCGUAGAGAUGUGGAGGAAUACCGAUGGCGAAGGCAGCCCCCUGGGCCAAAUACUGACGCUCAUGCACGAAAGCGUGGGGAGCAAACAGAUUAGAUACCCUGGUAGUCCAGCGCCCUAAACGAUGUCAACUAGUUGUUGGGGAUUCAUUUCCUUAGUAACGUAGCUAACGCGUGAAGUUGACCGCCUGGGGAGUACGGCCGCAAGAUUAAAACUCAAAUGAAUUGA